UGAUUAUAGCUAUUGGUUUUUUAAAUAUGCUGGAAUGAUUACAUACUCACUUAUUUAGUGGUAUUGUCCAGAUGAGCAUGGCUCAGACUUUGAUCGAUAUGGAAUACUUAUAAAAGUGAAAUUCAGGCAAGCUGGACAACUUCAAGUUCUUAGCGCUCACCACCAAUCUGGAGGGGAACGCUCCGUAUCAACUAUUCUUUACCUUGUUUCCCUUCAAGACCCGACUAACUGCCCAUUUAG